rfam:Schistosoma margrebowiei strain Zambia genome assembly, scaffold: SMRZ_scaffold0004767
AUUCAGCUGACGAGUCUCAAAUAGGACGAAAAAGCGCGUGUCCUUGAU